CAGCCGCCGCGGGAAUACGAAGGGUGCAAGCGUUACUCGGAAUUACUGGGCGUAAAGCGUGCGUAGGUGGUGGUUUAAGUCCGUUGUGAAAGCCCUGGGCUCAACCUGGGAAUUGCAGUGGAUACUGGGUCACUAGAGUGUGGUAGAGGAUAGUGGAAUUUCCGGUGUAGCAGUGAAAUGCGUAGAGAUCUGGAGGAAUACCGAUGGCGAAGGCAGCCAUCUGGCCUAAUACUGACGCUGAGGUACGAAAGCAUGGGGAGCAAACAGGAUUAGAUACCUGCGUAGUCCCUGUCUCUUAUAC
rnacentral:rRNA from 1 species